CAGUUUCCAUGCCGAUCUGUGAUGUUUGGCGUCCAUAUAGUCUCCUGGAUCCGGCUGUUCCAUCCUCACCCCUUUCGCGGCUUCAACUCCUCCCAGAUUGGUGAGCUGUGAAGAGGGGACGGCCAUGGCGGGCGUGAAGCCCCAAUGGUAGCAGCGUCCGGUGGUGGGCGACUUGCCCAAUGGAGCAGAGGAGAGGUGAUGACGAUUAAGUGGGCCUUUGGAGGCUGCUCCUGAGUGAGGCGCUCCUCCACAACCCAUGUCGCCUCCUCGCUGCAGAUUACGCCUUCCUGGACCUCUACUGCUUUCAAAUUAGCUCAAUACAAGAUGGAGUUAUUUAGAUCUGGUAGCACCAGUGGAUUGCAUGUAUAAAUUAUAUGAUGCAUUAUCAUUUUGAGGAAGACGUACAAUAUUGACAUGAUGUUGCAAGGCGGCAUGUUUUGUUUCCGAUCAGCAUGCUAUUACGUGAUAUUAUUGUCCUUUA